UCGGGAAUUUUGGGCAAUGGGCGAAAGCCUGACCCAGCAACGCCGCGUGAAGGAUGAAGUAUUUCGGUAUGUAAACUUCGUAAGAAUAGGAAGAAUAAAUGACGGUACUAUUUGUAAGGUCCGGCUAACUACGUGCCAGCAGCCGCGGUAAUACGUAGGGACCAAGCGUUGUUCGGAUUUACUGGGCGUAAAGGGCGCGUAGGCGGUGUGUCAAGUCAGUUGUGAAAUCUCCGAGCUUAACUCGGAACGGCCAACUGAUACUGUCACACUAGAGUACAGAAGGGGCAAUCGGAAUUCUUGGUGUAGCGGUGAAAUGCGUAGAUAUCAAGAGGAACACCUGAGGCGAAGGCGGGUUGCUGGGCUGAUACUGACGCUGAGGCGCGAAAGCUAGGGUAGCAAACGGGAUUAGAUACCCGCGUAGUCCCUGAGCGG
rnacentral:rRNA from 1 species